CAGCUGUGGGCCUACUGGAG
rnacentral:misc_RNA from 1 species